rnacentral:rRNA from 1 species
GGGCCCGCACAAGCGGUGGAGCAUGUGGUUUAAUUCGAUGAUACGCGAGGAACCUUACCAGGGCUUAAAUGCAGAACGACAGGGGUGGAAACACCCUCUUCUUCGGACGGUCUGCAAGGUGCUGCAUGGUUGUCGUCAGCUCGUGCUGUGAAGUGUCGGGUUAAGUCCCAUAACGAGCGCAACCCCUAUUUCUAGUUGCCAGCGGUUCGGCCGGGGACUCUAGAAAAACUGCCAGCGUAAGCUGUGAGGAAGGUGGGGAUGACGUCAAAUCAUCACGGCCCUUACGUCCUGGGCUACACACGUGCUACAAUGGUAGGGACAGAGAGUUGCCAACCCGCGAGGGUGAGCUAA